rnacentral:rRNA from 1 species
AUUGAACGCUGGCGGCAUGCUUUACACAUGCAAGUCGAACGGCAGCACGGGGGCAACCCUGGUGGCGAGUGGCGAACGGGUGAGUAAUGCACCGGAACGUGCCCUGUCGUGGGGGAUAACACAUCGAAAGAUGUGCUAAUACCGCAUACGACCUGAGGGUGAAAGGGGGGGAACGUAAGGCCUCGCGCGAUAGGAGCGGCCGAUGUCGGAUGAGCUAGUUGGUGGGGUAAAGGCCUACCAAGGCGACGAUCAGUAGCUGGUCUGAGAGGACGACCAGCCACACUGGGACUGAGACACGGCCCAGACUCCUACGGGAGGCAGCAGUGGGGAAUUUUGGACAAUGGGGGCAACCCUGAUCCAGCCAUGCCGCGUGCGGGAAGAAGGCCUUCGGGUUGUAAACCGCUUUUGGCAGGAACGAAACGGUGCGGGCGAAUACCCUGUGCUAAUGACGGUACCUGCAGAAUAAGCACCGGCUAACUACGUGCCAGCAGCCGCCGUAACAC